GUUCUGUCAAGAGAAACGUGAGCGACUCAAGAGUUUUCUACGUGAAAUAUCAAAGUAAGGCAGUUUGCUUUGAGAAAAAAACAAUAAUUAGGAUUAUUUAUUACAAACAGAAGAAAAGUAAAAACACAGCCAUACUUUUCAUGGUGAUCAACACAAAGCAGCCACGGCCCCCUUUGUUAUACAAAGACCGUCGGCCUGCAUCAUCAAAGUCGAGGAGGAAAGAAUGCAUGUAAAACCCCGUCGGGGGGGAAUAGAGGAAAAAGGAAAUGUUUUGGAAAGGGAAUGGACGGACACCAAAAAGCCUCGGCAGAAACUUCAGAGUUCAAACUGCGUAUUUAUGUUAUAACUAGGGAUGCACCGAUCUGAUCGGCGCCGAUCCAUAUCGGCCGAUAUUCCCAUUAUCGGUUUUGAUGGUCGUUCUCAAAACGGCCGAUCAGAUGACGUCACAUCUGUGAGAACUAUCAGAGACGUUUCAAUCGCGGUGCACCGCAACGGAGUAAAUGCGCCCGACGAGGGCCGCAGAGUGAGAGGUCAGAGGUCAGAGGGGAUCCUCACCACCGAGCGGCGUCCCCGUCCCCCGAGUUGAAUCUCUGGGUCGAUUCAGCCGACUCUCACAUGUCUGCCCCUAGAGAUGCUCACGGUAAACACAUUCCAUCGGGAGCAAAGAGGGUUUUGAUAAAGUUAGCGGAAGGAUUUAAGUGACAACAUCCGGUUUUGCAAAGUUAGCGGAAAGAACCACGUGAAACAACAUCCGUUUUUCAAAAUAAGAUGUCGACAAAUCAUACACGAACAUAUAAAAGUAAACAAUUAACUGAUUUUGUAUCUUUAUAGAUCGUUUCUUAGAUUUAGCUUAAAUUAUGCUCACAGUAAAACAUUUUUACUGUACCAAGGAAGAGUUUAUAAAAAUAAGUCAGACUUUUGUAUGUUAAAAAAAGUCCUGUAUAUAGAUUUCCCCAAGAGUUCCAGGAAAUUAAUAAUGCAGAUGUGUUCCAUACAUAUCGGAAAUCCCCUACAAUAGCAAUCAAACAAUUUUAAUGUAUCAAUUCGGACAUUUUUCAAAGUAAAAGUCCUAAAUGUUUAAAGAAAUCGGUAAUUUCUUUAAUGUUUGAGUUGCUUUAUAUAUGUAUUUCCUCAUAGUCCUAGGCAAUAAUGCUACACAAUAAAUAGAAUGCUUCAAUCGACACCGUGAUCGGUGAUCGGUAUUAUCGGUGAUCGGCAGAUACUGAUUUCAGUGAUCGGCACCAAAAACCUGAUCGGUGCAUCUCUAGUUAUAACACAACACAAGAUCUGCAUGAUACAAUUAUUUAUGUAAGACACACAUUACAGUUCACUGGAACACUCCAGAGGUACUUUUACUCCACCACAUUGAUCUCACAUGCAACGAAGUACGCUCCAUACUUAAGGAGUUCCUCAAAGAACCUAUAAAGGAGUCUCAAAGAACCUUCAAAUAAUGGUUCUUUAAGGCACCAUUUUUGGUUCCACAGAGAACCUUUCACACCAGGGUUCUUUCAGGGAUGAUGUAACAGACGUGGACGUCUCUAAUAAAUGUGUUACCUACCCAGGGACAUUGUUGUGGAGGCUUUAUGAAAACAAAAAGGCGUGGCACAUGUCAAGUGGGCAGCAGGUAUUGUUUUUCCCUCUCGUAAAAAACAAAGAGUCUUUUCAAGAUUGUGCAGAGCACUUUUGUCUCAGUGCCUCGGCUUUCCAAGAGAGUUGCUUCAGAGACAUGUUUCCCGUAUGUAACUCAAGGUUUUCUGACUUCAUGAUCAACAGAUGUCACCCUCGAUAGUUUACUCAUUUCCUUAAAAGCUGCAGGAACGACUUUAUUAGCCUUUUGGUGCCAGAAAAAACUCCAAUAAACAGACGAUGUAUAUUACUGCCUAAUAAGGUGUUUUUUUAGGCUAACGUGCGAGCAAUAAGUGACUUUCACACCUCCAGCAAACAUUAUAGUUCAUUUAAAGUGAUGUUCUUGGCUCACAUCCACAUUUUUUUUUUUAAAGCUUUCUGUGUUUUUAAACACAUGCGAAGAAUAACGAGCCUGCCGGCUAACCGGGUAACGCGACUCCCGGCGAGAGGUAAAAGCUGAGGCAGUCCGGCCCCCCGCUGAGAGACGGUUGCCUGCGCCACGUGAGGUUUCUCAUUUAGGGUCCCGAGUCCACCAACACCGGGAGACCUGAACCGCUUCUGCCUCGGCGACACGCCGCUGCUAUAUCUGCCAAGCAGUCUUCAAAAAUGCCAGAGAGCUGACGAACCCGGUCAUGCUAAAUAUGGCUGUUAGCUGUGUAAAUAUGGAAUGUAAGCCAAAGAAAAUAUACAUUUGAUGUCAAAACAAACCAACGCAACGGAAGCGAGCGUCCUCGUGCCGCUGUACAUGAGAUUGAUGAGAGCAGCGAUAUUAAAAAAGAGGCCCACGAGGGUUUUGUUCUGGACGGAUUAAUGCUUCGCGUCAUAAUUGAUUCAUAAAUAAGGAAACAAGGUUGCUUUGAGAAGCUUUACACACGUGGAUGUCUUCCUCCUCAUGCGUAACUGUAUGCUCGGCCCUUUUUAGCUCGGUAGGAUGUUCACGGUCUGCUUCGGUGAGCCGGCACACUUUAUAACAGCGAGUCAGAGAUUUCACAGAGCGCAGAGAGGGUUUCUCAGGAGUGAUAUGCAAACCGACUGAGCCACAGAGUCCCAUGGACAUCUCCUCCUAAACACACAAACUCACUCGCUCCUCCCUCGUCUUGCAACGCGACGUCCGUCGGGGCGGGAGGAUCCCAUCGCAUGUCAGCGGCGUCAUAGUGAGUCGGUUUCAGAGCGUGCGUCGCGGAGACGUCCGUGGUGAUCAUUUGCAUUUCAAAUCGUGGUAUUUGCUCUCCGGUGUCCGGUGACGCCGACGGGUAACGCGCUGCUCGCCGCCGGCUGACACCGACGCGCAUUUAACCCUCCCGUUGCCUUAGGGUCAAUGUGACCCCAUUCAAUGUUUAACCCUCCUGUUACCUUUACAUUUACUGACAUAUUUUACCCUCGGGGUCAAUUUGACCCCAGCAAUUAAAACCUCCAGAAAAUUAUUAGAAUUAAUAUUGUUUCCCAAGUUUAUGUGUGAGGUACUUUAUGUUUGUUGACUACCUAAAUAGCUCUUUAAAUAUAUAAAAAAAGUUGAUAUUUCUUAUAUGUUUGACACAGUGAAAAACAGCCUGGGGUCAAAUUGACCCCAAAGAACACCGACAUUAAACAUUGAACGGGGUCAAAUUGACCCUAAAGGUAACAGGAGGGUUAAGAGCGCGUCGGAUACGUCAACACCCGCCUGGCGACAUGACCGGUGACUUACGCCGUUUAUUCAAGAGGAAGGUGGUCCCAUGUGGAGGCGGAUGGGCCCGGCUAACAGAGGCCUUUCAUCCAGUGUGCUUAUUGAACCAAACCCAACUAAAUAGUUCUGCAACUCUAAGUUUGUGACUGUAUCUUUUUAUUAUUAUUAUUUGCAACCCGUGAACGGAAACGACCAUAAUUGGAUCGUCGAGGAGCGACGUAGAGACGCUGUCGCAGCUCUGGUAUAUUCUAUAUACAUAUUUGGAUUGCAGAGACGCUGUACGCCGCUCUGGUGUACACAGCUCUAUCGUCACAGUGAGCACGCCCUAAAACAUACUAUUUCCCUUUAAACUGGACCGUGAUUUUACUCAAUGUCAUCUUGCUCUCUUGAAGAUUUUAAACUAGCCGUUGAGACCAUAAACGUCUCGUUCACAAUGUUUACUGAGGUCAUUAAUCAAGUGAGCAGCAAGACUCAUGUUCUCAUAUCUAAUCGGACUUCUUUAGAGAAUGAAAGUUUUAAACGUUUUUACUCGGCGCAAACCGAUGGUUGCAGCGUGUUAGAGACGGAGAUUUAUUUUGAAAAGACACUUUGCAUGUCAGUGUAAUUUGACACUCCAUUGUUGAGAUGCAAAACAGGGGCUAACAGGGGCAGGUAGGGAACAGACUGUAUAAAACAUGGAUGUAUUCUCCAUGAUAGCAGCUAGCAGCUAGCCUCCUCCGUCCCCCAACGUGGCCACACCUCCUUCACAUAAUUUAUACUGUGAGUUAUUGGAUAUCAAAUAAACCCUGGUACAGUUGUCAUGAACAUGGAAAUUAGCCCAAAACAUAGACUGUAUAAAACAUGGAUGUAGUCUCCAUGGCCGCACCUUGUUAACAUAGCAGCUGUUCAGAAACCAAAGUGGCCGAACCUUGUUUACAUAAUUUAUACUGUGAGCUUCUGUACAUAAAAUAAACCGACCAAAAACGUUUUUUUUUUACUGUGUUAACAUUUUUAUUUAUUUCUGCUGUUGAGUUGUUGCAUUUUAACAUGCGCGUCGACGAGGAUCGACUCGCUUUUGCAGCCAGCCUCAAGUGGCCAUUUGAGGAAGUGCAGGAGCUUUUGGCACUUUGCCGUUUUCGCCUAAUUUCUCAUCACCCAAGUUAAGCAUCAAGAGUUUGACGCCUGAUGCCACGCACCGAGCUACCUAUCCCACUGGAGUGAGAAUGAGUUUGUCUUGCAUUAGGCGGCCUGUCUAAUGCCUGUUUCAGUCACGUCCGACCGACCGUGGUCCCCGGCUCCACGGCCUGCUUCCUCUCCGAGGGAAAGAGAAAGCAAAGAGGCAACACGGUGAGAUGCCUGAUUCAUGAGUGCUCCCUCUGUCCUUCUCUUCCAUACAGGUGCAGAAGUGGGUUUUGGCACAGGCGCAGCUACAUUCUUUCACAUAGGCACAAACACCCACACCUCCGGUCCCUGCCUCUCAGUACUUUUCCAUUCAGACCCGAGAGCUCCGCCCCCAUUUUGCGAUUUGGAGACGUGAAGAGCAUUUAGGGACCUUAUCACAUGCUUAUCUGGAGGGAAACGCGGCAGCGGGUGUUAAUGGUGAUUCCACUGGCUUCUAACGACAUGCACACGAGAGGCUACGGAAAGGUUCAGGUGGAUGUGAAUGCACCAGUGAAAUGUGACCCGGACAGACACGAUGCAUGUUCACACAGAGAGACAGGAAGAGAGAGAGAGAGAGACAGAGGGCCGACGGAGAGAUCAUAAGAGACAAUUAGAGCGGCUACCGCCCUUCAUCUGUUAUAAACCUCUCCCUUAAUACACAACAGUUCCUCCUUCCCUGGAACAGAUCCAGCCAUGAUUUGGAAGUCAGCCACCCAGACUUAGAAAGCAAAGCAACAACCCCGAAAACUGCAAAGAUGAGUUAGCGGUCACUGUAAAGCGCACAUUUGAUUCCUGCUAUGUGGGUUGUUACAUCGCGGCUGUAGACAAUCAAACAGUGUCUAUACCUAGAGUGCGUUUCCAGUUUAAACUAAUACUAUGCCAACUAGUACAUGCUGCAGUAUAAAGGUCAGAGGACGCUAUCAGGCCCGACUUCUGCUUCAGAAGUCACAAAGAAUAGGACUUUAAAAAGAAAGAUUUCCCCCUCUCUGACAACGUCACACAGGCCCGUGGCAACGAGAGGGGAUGUGUCGAGAGCACGUGUCGGGCGCCAUCAAAAAGAGUGAAAAUUAAUACUAAUCUCUUCGGGAGGAAGCUAAGCUCGCUUUGUUAAUUCACUCCGGGCGCUUUAUUCAGGGUGAUCAAGUGACGCCGAACAUCGACGAAGAGGGACAGUGAUAAUUGGAGCUUAGAAAGAGGACGUGGACGAUGACAGUCGGGAAAUCAGCAGUCAGAUCAGUGGCAGCAAGGAAUCCCCUUCCCCCGGCAUGGAGAGAGGACCCCUGGGGGGCCCCUGGAGGAGACCCCAUUUCAUGCAGUGGGCCGCAUGUCAGAGGGCAAAUGGUGGCCGAGUGAUGACAUCAUGUGGAUAUGCAAAUCUACCAACAGCCAGACGGCUCGGCCAAUGAGCGAAUUGGGGAAAGGUGUUACCAAGACAAUGUAUCCAAUGAGAAGUGGAUAUCUCCCCUGGAGACGCCCGGGAGAGACAAAAUAAACUUCCGGAUGAUGCCGAGACACUUCUUUAGGUGGAGCAAGAGACAGUUCACUGCAAUUGGUUUAGCCAGGAGUGGUCUGUGGAUUGUGAAGCCAGAGAAAUCCUCGGCCGAGAAUUUAUACUCUGUAUCUGAACAGUUAUUAGUUAUUAUCAACUAUUGGUAAUACUUUUUAUUAAAUACAUUUUCAGGGCUCUCAAGUUUUGAAGACAGGCAAGAGUGACAUUUCCAUCAGCACUCGGAUAUCAGUCAGUCGCGCGCAAUAACAGGAUGCUUUAUCUUCAUUGGUUGCUGGAUUAAAUCUCACCCAGAUACAACAGAUACGGGUUGUUUUCUGAUUGGCUAUUGUGUAGCCCAUUUCUUUUUUUUGAUUGGCUGAUAAGUGGCUCCUCACAGCAGAACUCCAGGGGAGCGCUUGAUUCCUCCACGGUGAGGGCAGCGCGGCCAGCUCAUGUUGGCGCGCUGCGGCACAUUAAAACAUUAAAUAGCCGAGAGUUUUUUUCAGCGUGAGAAAUAUGAUGUGUGGCGGGAGUGCGUGACUUAAGACCGAAAUGCGUGAGUGUCACGCUCAAUGCGUGACACUUGAGAGCCCUGCAUUUUAUUAUAACUUUUCGACUCCGGACAUUUUCUUCAGUUCCAUUUAAGAACCGUUCUUGUUCUGUGUGCAUUGUGCUAAUACGCUGCUGCAUUGUUCGGGUUAGCUGCUGUAAAGUUUUCUCACUUGUCUCGCGCUCCGAGAGACCAUCAAACAAUAUUCCUUUAACCACAUUGUGAAAUGCUUCCACACAGAUUGUGUCUCCUGUUUUUGAAGACGCAGGAUUUUAUCGUUGAGUUUUUUUUUGUACAUUUGAGGCAAAUGUUUUCGUUAAAAGAAAAAAAAAACUCUUUUGUUUUAGUUUAGAUUUAGAUUUAAAACUCUCGUGCGGCGUUCACACCAAAAGUGCCGCACAUUGUUGGCGUGAGUAGAUCCCAUGCAAAGUCAAUGUCAGCUGCGUGAGGCCAGGGUGAUGUUAUGAGCCCAAACACGAGGCGUUUGAUGUUCAGACGCUUGUUGGAUGUCCACAACAAGUAGAAAGCAGAACGAGUGGUUAUGUAUUCCAUGGUGGAUGAAGGAAGUGAUUGCCACGGAGUACAGAGGCAUACCAUUCCCUCUGAGGCGCGAAUGACGCGAAUAAACCACAAAUAGUCGGGCGAGUAAACUCACACGAGUAAAGCGGAAAAAAGCUUCUUCUUUUUUUACGCAGCAUUAAAAUAAAUGCCGUUUAUAUUUUUUCCUUUUUCCAAAGUCGCACCGUUUAAUUGUAGCUGCUCCAGCUGGUUAUCGGGGUUUCUUGUGGUAUAAGACUGUUGUGUACUUUAUACUGCUGUCAUAACAUUGUGUUGUGACUUAUACAUAUACUUGUAUGAUAUAUUUUUGCAUUACUUUGCACUUUGUUUAAACUUUUUAAAUCCAAAUGAAAGAAAAAUAACAUUUGUGGUUGCACAGUCAUACACACAGUAGUGUUUUGCAUUUUGUGUAUAUUUGUUUCAGGAAAAAAGUGUUCGAUGUAAAGUACAUAGUGGGUACGUAAAGUAUUCAGACGCCUUUAAAUUUCAUUAAAAAAGUUCAUUUUAUUUCUCAUUAAUGUACACUCAGCAAAGAGUCUGAAUACUGAUGAACAUGUGAUAUUUCAGUUUUUCUUUUUUACUAAAUUUGCAAAAAAUUCUACAUUCCUGUUUUUCCUGUCCAGAUGAGGACAUUAAUGAGAAAUAAAAUGAACUUUUUUUUAUUUUAGCAAAUGGCUGCAAUGAAACAAAGUAAUAAUUUAAAGGGGUCUGAAUACGUUCCAUACCCACUGUAUGUAGUUUAUUUUUUAUAUAUAUAAUAAAGUUUAAAAGACAUCAGA